UGAAAAGAAACAGAGAGCACCAGGGGGAGAGAGAGAGAGAGGAAACGGAGUAGAAGGGAAGAGGUGAGAACUUGAUCGAGAGUUUGGGCUGGAUUACGGUAGAGGAGGAAGGAACGAAAUCGAGAGGACGAUAGGGGAGUGAGAGUUUCGGGGUGACAGCAACAAAGAACCGCAGGGAUGACGAGCUAUGCCAAGAGUAUAGUGGCUGGGAAAUUCGAAGUUAUUCCAAGGGUAGAGUUUAGAUUGCAAUUGGUUAAUUAAUGGGCGUGUUAGGAGCCGAUGAGACCGAGACUAUACACCCGAAAGGCUCGACUCGUUGAGUUAUCAUUUUGGGGGUCUUUAUGAGCAAGGAGCUAGAUUUGCAGCACAGGAAAAUCUUAUUGGACAUCGGGGGAUUAGCGUGAAAGAUUUUUGCAGUUAGAUCCACUUAUAGUAUAAGUAGUAAGUUAUUGUAGAAUGUUGUAAUUAUGUCAUGACUUGAAACCUUUGUUUAGUUGGUUUAGUACUAUGGUUGAGAAAAAGUACUCUCUUGAGAGAUAUAUAUAUAUUAGAGUCUGCUAGAUUGGUUAUAUAUUUUUUUGGGAGUCAUGGAAAGCAUGUUUUAUAUGAAUAGUUCAUGUGAUAAUGGAU